rnacentral:rRNA from 1 species
UAGGGAAUUUUCGUCAAUGGGCGCAAGCCUGAACGAGCAAUGCCGCGUGAACGAGGAAGGUCUUCGGAUCGUAAAGUUCUGUUGAAGGGGAAAAAGAGCGGAGAGAGGAAAUGGUCUCCGAUUGAUAUUACCCUUCGAGGAAGUCACGGCUAACUACGUGCCAGCAGCCGUGGUAAUCUGACUCU